GACCCAGUGGUGAAAUGUAAUCACGCCCGCACCUUAUAUCGUCCCAAGAACGGUUUAUAAUGCGCCCAACCGGGAGUCCCCUGUUCGACCCAGGGCUAGGUCA